rnacentral:lncRNA from 1 species
AAAACGUCCGGAUUACCUUACAUAACAUAACAUAAUUAACAUAAACAUAAACAACGAAAAUGACGCUUCGAGGACAAGAAUUCGAGAAAUAAAGUUUACUUGGUCUUUUGUGAUGUUCCAAUUCCAUUUUUUUGAAAAUGACUCAUCAUGUUAUAGUGUGAUGUUUUCUGAAUGACUUUAUGUGAUAGUGUGAACGUUUUCUGACUGGCAGAAGGAUAUUCAGUUUUCUUUUUGCCCAACCUUGUCAGUCUGGUGCUAAAAAGGUAAGUUUAGUGUUAUAUCUUUAGAAGCUAAUAUUAAUUCGGUCCUAAUGGUAAUGCACGCAAGUAUGAAUUAAUUGUGUUAAUGAAUGUUUGUCUAGAAAGUUUUUAUAUGUCAGAAUUAUCACCUUCUCUUUGUAAA